rnacentral:lncRNA from 1 species
CUCACACCUGUAAUCCCAGCACUUUGGGAAGCUGAAGAGGGUGGAUCACCUGAGGUCAGAAGUUUGAAACCAGUCUGGCCAACAUGGUGAAACCCUGUCUCUACUAAAAAUACAAAAAUUAGCUGGGCAAGGUGGCUCGGGAAGCUGAGGCAGGAGAAUCCCUUGAACCUGGGAAGUGGCGAUUGCAGUGAGCUGAGAUCGCACCACUGCACUGCAACCUGGGCGACAGAGCAAGACUCCAUCUCAAAAACAAACAAACAAACAAAAACAGAUGUGAAAUCUUUCAUUUGUAUGUGCCAGAUAUUUUGUAUUACUCUUUCCAGAUCCGGUCUCUACUUCUUACUACCCUGCUCCCUGCCCUUGGAGGCUGAUUUUUAUGAAUUACAUCAAUGGGCUCCCUUGCCUUCUGGCUUUUGAUUGGGUUUGGACAAUGGAAGUCAGGGGAAGAGGAAAUAAGGUGAUUUCCCUGGAUCCUCCCUGCAAGGUCACCUCAGGAUAGUGUCCUUGAUUGAAGGGUCCUUACUAGAGGGAGGCAGAAGGAUUUUAAGAGGAAAUGACAUGACAAAAGCAGCAAGAGCUUUGAAGAUGCAGUGCUGCUGGCUUUGAAGAUGGAAGAAGGGGCUGUGAGUCAAAGGAAUGCAAAGAAUGUAGCUCCAGAGGCUGGAAAAGAAGGGGGCAAGGCCUUGCUGUAUACCUUUGUUUUGGCGCUAUGAAAUUAUUUUGGUCUUGGCCGGGCAUGGUGGCUCACGC